UUUUCUUCCUCCUAUGUAAUAUGACUAGAUGUUAAUGUGUAGUAGUUAUGUUUGUCAGACAACUAUCUAAUGAAUGGGAUGCUACCAAAAUUGAGGCCUUACAUUGGAUUACAACACUUUUGGUAAGACAUCAGGCUGAGGUAAUCAUUGAUGAUUUCUUGUUCAUUUAUGACAUCAGUUCAUGCAUAUGUACUUACUGUAUAUUGAUCACUCGUAUAGGUUUCCUGAAGUAAUAUCAAAUGUUGUGUUCACUGCCUCUGUUCUAGAAAAUAUUGCUGCUGAUGGCUUGCUAUAAGAGGCAUGUGCAUGUUAGCUUUCCUUUUCAAAACAAUGGUAGCAAAUUUUUGAAGUGUGUGGAAUAGUUACUGGGGUACGAAGGGUUUAGUUGAACAGUUGUUGUUGUAUAGAACAGUUGGUGAAGGGUUUGACCUGGGCUCUUGUAUCUUGCAGGUGAUUUUCACAGGUCUUGAAUUUCAAAUUUCUUUCAAUCUCUAUCUCUUGAAUCUGAUUUUCUUCUAACAUCUUUCUUACUGUAGAUGGGGUGUUAAGAAGCCUCAAAUCAUGAAAAUUCUAUCACAAUCUUGUCGAAUGCAGGUCUUGGGUUGGCCAUGUUCAGUCUCGGCAAGAUCAUUGAUAUGCUCAUCAUGAUUCUUAGUCCUUGUUUUUCAAGUGUUUUGAAUUGACUUGAACUACCUUUGAAUUUUUUGAAUUUUCAAGACUGUUCAUGGCUUUGUAGCUAAGAAUCAUAGCCUGUGGGACUAAACUCGCCUCAUACAAAUUGGUUGCGAGGUUCCUCGCUGGCCCGGCUGUCAUGGCGAUCGCAUCUGUUGGGGUUGGCCUCAGAGGCACAAUCCUCAAAGUGUCCAUUGCUCAACCAUGUACAAGAUUUCAGAUCAAAGUGAAGCUAAGAAUAGGGUGUUAGUUGAUGGCAAAUUGAUAACCAGUAGAGGCACAUCCAUGGAGUUUUCACUUGCGAUUGUUGAGAAGCUAUUUGGCUGCGAGAAGGCAUUGGAUCUUGCUGUUAAUGAGAACUUUAAAUAGACAUAUAAUUAUUAUGUUGACAUUGUACUUUUGUGAAUGGAAAUGAAUGAUUGUAUAUGAUUAAAUGAAUGAUUGUGUUUGAUUGAAAGAAUGAAUGAUUUAGCCAUGAA